UCAAUAAGAUUAGAGGUAAUAAAUAAGGUGCUCUCUCAUUCUACAUUGAAGCUUGUGCAAGGAUGUUGAUUAAUUUACAUAUAACCUUGUUCUCUUUCCUCAUUUAUUGCAUGACACAUCAUCAAAAAUCAUAUCUGUCAAAAUUAGCAACAACUAUCUUACAAGAGCCGUCAAAUACCCGCACCACCGAGCGCCGCCCCUUCGCCGCUGCCCAGCCACGCUGCCCCGGCGGCUCCGCCCUGUAACGCCGACGCCUUGCCGUCCAUCGGGGCGCAGGCGAAUCUCCCGGACCAACUGACGGAGGAGAUCCUCCUCCGCGUCCCCACGGUCGCCGACCUCGCCCGCGCCUCCAUGGUCGGCCCGUCCCUCCGCCUCAUCAUCGCCGACCACUACUUCCUCCGUCACUUCCGCACCCUCCACCCGCCGCCUCUCCCGGGUAUACUCUCGGACCCCUUUCUCCCAGCCUGGCCGCCCCACCCCUCCGUCGCCGUCGACCGAACCCUCGCCGGUACUGACUUCUCGUGCUCCUUCCUCCCCUCCCGCGAGUAGCCCUGGCACCGCUGCGACUUCCGCGACGGCCACACCCUCCUGUGCAUCGCCCCCGACGGCCGUCGUCUGGUCAUCGAUGUCGCCGUCUGCGACCCGCUGCACCGGCGCUACUUCCUGCUACCUCCCGUCCCCCAGGACCUGUCCGAUCUGGUCUAUCACUGGGAGCUCUUUCAUGCUCUUGCCGGCAGGGAGCGGGAUACUGGCAUUGCCGCCGAUGCUCCCUUGGCGCGACUCCGCGCCACAAUGCCCCUGCUCUCGUGCUUCGUCGUGACGUUGACCUCACCAGAAAACAAGUAAUGGCGCUGCUCUCCCGUCGGUUACCCCACCCGCCGACUGGCUAGGUCCACCCAUCUGAACUUCCUGCGGCGAAUACUCCCUUUGCUUCCCGUAGCAUUGAAGAUGAGGAGACAAAGUUCUUCUCCUGAUGAAGUGGUUGAUUUGUCUGAUGGCCAAAGUGGAGACGAGAGGAGCUGGUCAACGGCCUGGAUUGUGAAUUGGCGAGGUGCAGUAGCACUUGCGACAAACAGCAGCAUCUUACUGAAAAGAAGGUGCGACACCACCCAUGAAAAGAGUGGGGGGAAAAGUUCAGACGAUACUAGCAGGCUAACUUGUUCAGCACUGCAUUCUUGCAUGUUCGUUGCUUCCAAAAAAUUUCCGUGAUGCGUUCUUGCAUGUUCGUUGCUUCCAAAUUUGAGCCUUUAAAUGUAGAUGCUGGUAGCUCAUUCUUUAAUUCUUAGGGCACCACUGAUGGCCGGUCCCUAUUACCUUGAUGUACUAUAGUCUUCCGACCAUUACAAAGCCAAUAUUCAAUGGAAAACCCACUGUUUCAUGCCAAUUCGCAAACAAAAUGAAUUGUUGUAGUAAAAAAAAAAGGAUAAGAAUUGCUCUGGAGUUGUCCAUGUGAUACUGUACAAGUAUUUUUUUAAUUGGUGUAUUUGAAGUUCAUAAUAAUUUGUCGAAGAAGGUUCACUUCAUAUGGACAUGAAGUUGUUCUUUUAUCCUUCUCUCA